UACUGUAAAGAUUUGAGGCAACAUAGUUUGUGCUAGUUUUUCUUUAUAAUUAUUAUCUUUUCAAUCAGUUAUUGAUCUUAUAUUGUCUUUUAGGUACUUUAUAGUCUGUGUAUUAGUGUAUCAGUACCGUAUAUACUCGUAUUGAAUCAGUUGGCAUGGUAUUGGAUGAUGUCAGUACAGGGAGGAUCA
rnacentral:lncRNA from 1 species